rnacentral:rRNA from 1 species
GGUGGUUUGUCGCGUCGUUUGUGGAAUACCGCAGCUUAACUGCGGGGUUGCAGGCGAUACGGGCAUAACUUGAGUGCUGUAGGGGAGACUGGAAUUCCUGGUGUAGCGGUGGAAUGCGCAGAUAUCAGGAGGAACACCGAUGGCGAAGGCAGGUCUCUGGGCAGUAACUGACGCUGAGGAGCGAAAGCAUGGGUAGCGAACAGGAUUAGAUACCCUGGUAGUCCAUGCCGUAAACGGUGGGCGCUAGGUGUGAGUCCCUUCCACGGGGUUCGUGCCGUAGCUAACGCAUUAAGCGCCCCGCCUGGGGAGUACGGCCGCAAGGCUAAAACUCAAAGGAAUUGACGGGGGCCCGCACAAGCGGCGGAGCAUGUGGAUUAAUUCGAUGCAACGCGAAGAACCUUACCUGGGCUUGACAUACACCGGAUCGCUGCAGAGAUGUAGUUUCCCUUGUGGCUGGUGUACAGGUGGUGCAUGGUUGUCGUCAGCUCGUGUCGUGAGAUGUUGGGUUAAGUCCCGCAACGAGCGCAACCCUUGUCUUAUGUUGCCAGCAUUUGGUUGGGGACUCAUGAGAGACUGCCGGGGUUAACUCGGAGGAAGGUGGGGAUGACGUCAAAUCAUCAUGCCCCUUAUGUCCAGGGCUUCACACAUGCUACAAUGGUCGGUACAACGCGUUGCGACACUGUGAGGUGGAGCUAAUCGCCUAAAGCCGGCCUUAGUUCGGAUUGGGGUCUGCAACUCGACCCCAUGAAGUCGGAGUCGCUAGUAA